rnacentral:rRNA from 1 species
ACGAACGCUGGCGGCGUGCUUAACACAUGCAAGUCGAACGGUGAUCUUGGGAGCUUGCUCUUGGGUGAUCAGUGGCGAACGGGUGAGUAACACGUGAGUAACCUGCCCCAGACUCUGGAAUAACCCCGGGAAACCGGAGCUAAUACCGGAUAUGACACCAAUCCGCAUGGGUAUGGUGUGGAAAGUUUUUCGGUCUGGGAUGGACUCGCGGCCUAUCAGCUUGUUGGUGAGGUAGUGGCUCACCAAGGCGACGACGGGUAGCCGGCCUGAGAGGGCGACCGGCCACACUGGGACUGAGACACGGCCCAGACUCCUACGGGAGGCAGCAGUGGGGAAUAUUGCACAAUGGGCGAAAGCCUGAUGCAGCGACGCCGCGUGAGGGAUGAAGGCCUUCGGGUUGUAAACCUCUUUCAGCAGGGAAGAAGCGAAAGUGACGGUACCUGCAGAAGAAGCACCGGCUAACUACGU